CGCAACAGGACCCCAGGAUGCCCCGGAUUCCGAGGAGAGGCUCUGGCUGCUGCCCAGCAGGAGAAGGGCACCCUCUGCGCGCCCCCAGCUACCUGGCUGCUCUGCGGCGUGUGCACUGGGAGAGUCGCUCUGCUCCAGGCACUAUCUUUGGCUUUUUCUCUAAGAGGUCCAUGCAGUGAAAAAUUGAAUCAGUUUCUCAGAUAAUUCAAAUCAAAAGGGUUGGAUCUGGUUGAUGACCCCUCGCUUUGAAUCUGAUUGGGCUUGUGUCUUCUUCAGUCAAUAUAACACAGUGAAAGUGCUGUUAUGUGACUUCUGAGCUUAGGUCAUAAAAGGUCAAAUUGCUUUAUUUUGUUCAUUGCAACUGUCUUACUUUGAGUCCUGAGCCACCGUGUAAGAAGUUUGUGGCCUAAAGACCACAAUGUGAGGAACCUCAAGCCGCAUGAAGAAGCCAGGAGUAGGUUCUCUGGUUGAUGGCCUCAAUUGAGCCCAGCUUUCAAGUCAACCCAGCCCAGGAACCAGACAUAUGAGAUAAUGUUUCAGAUAAUUCCAGCCCUGAAGUAUUUGAAUCAUCUCAGCUGUUUGAGAUUUUUCAGCUGAGCUCUCAGGCUUUGUGGAGCAGAGAUAGCAUUUAUGAGCAUAACAAAAUGCUAUUCAUCUCUGAGUAUAUACUUCAUAGAUUUUAGGUGCAAUGCUUAGUGUUUGGACAUUUACAAAGAAUAGUAUUUGAUCACAGCCAGUUCUUAGAAUUGUAGAGUGUAACAUACCACUGCAAAGGACCCUAGAGAUCUUUCAGUCAAACCCUUCAUGUAUAGAUGAUAAUAGGGAGGCCCAGAGAGAGACUGACUUGCCCAAAGUUAAUCACAGUUAGUGACUUUCCCAUUUGAAUCUAGCCAGUCACAGGAAUAUAUGAAAUCUAUACAAAAGAGAAGAGAGGGAGUUCCUUGGUGGUCCAGUGGCUAAGACACCAUGCUCCUAAUGCACGGAGGCCUGGGUUUGAUCCCUGGUCAGGGAACUAGAUACGACAAGCUGCAACUAAAGAUCCAUGUGUCACAACUAAGACCUGAUGCAGUCAAAUAAAUAAUUUUUUUAAGAGAAUAAAAAAUAUAGCAAUAUGUAUCCAUCAAGCAAUAGGACAGCAAGUAUUUGUUGAUGAUUCAAUCAUUUUUUAGGCACAGGGUUCAGGACUAAAUAUCAGUCACAUUUCUUUAGGAUAUGACUCAGUUUUCCCUAGAUCCAGCCUUUGGCUGCCAAUCCUUAUUCUUUAUAACAGCCUCUUUAAUAAAAUCUGCGUGAAGAGUGGUAGCUCCUUCUUUUAUUGACUAUUCUUUUUCUUUCUUUCUUUUUUUCUUUAACUGAUUACAAAAUCAGUCAAACCACCUCUCCCUGUAAGUAACCUUCUUAAUCAAAAGAGAGAAGCUCAAAUAGGAUUCUGUCAAGUGACUGAGAAUUUAAUUGAAUUUGCGUCAUAAGGUUUUCAUGAAACUUUCUCCAAGUUCCUAGUCAAGAGAGCUAUAAGAAUUUGAAUGGAAGGUUUAGAUUUUUUUAGAUGGGAUGGAGAAAAUAAUGUUUAGUUCAAAAUAUAAUAACACAUUCUGAAGAGAAGAUAGCUAUUUGGGGAAGUUAUGUGCAAUCAAAAUCCCUUGGACUGUGAAAGGUCACCUAUUAAAAUGGUUAAACAUUUUAGUGACCAUGUUUCUCCUUGGAUUUGGCCUUUCCUUCUACACUAUCUUGUCACUGAUAUACAGGCUUGACAUUUGAACAGAAGCUAUUAAAUGGAGUGGGAAAAGACCAGUAUAUUCUUUAAAAAUUCUCCUGUUUAUUUAUUUAUAUUUUAAAAAUACAAACUCCUUAUCUAGCCUAUUAUUUUAUGUUUCUAUUUUUAAUUUUUAAUAUAGGGUUUUACUGGAGAGUUCUGCCUUGAUUCCCUUCUCAGCUUUGGCUGAACAAAAUACUAAUAUUUAACUUUUCUGAAAGGGCUUAAAGUGUACUUUCAAUGGAAUACUCUUAUUUUUACCCUGUGUGUGCUAUUUUUAUAAUAAAAUGGACCACUGAAAAGCUUUAAAAUGUAAUAUAAAUUUGUUUUGUUGCCAGGCAUUCUAGGUAAAUGACAAUCUUAUGAAAAAUGAGACCUCUCUAAUUUUAAGUGUCUAUAUGCUAAACUAUAUUUAUGUAGUCUACUAGAUAUAUAUCAAUACUAUUUGGGUGAGGAAGGAAAUAUGGUCUAAAUAAAAGACAGUGAGU